rnacentral:rRNA from 1 species
GAGGACAAGUCUGGUGCCAGCAGCCGCGGUAAUACCAGCUCCAAUAGCGUAUAUUAAAGUUGUUGCAGUUAAAAAGCUCGUAGUUGGACUUGUGUGCAUGGGAACUCGCGGUCUUCGUCCAAAAGGGCGUUACGACAUGCGGUUCCUGUGCCGUAAAAUCUUCAACUGGAUCGCACCUGGUCUUGAUUGACUGGGAGCUGUCAUUCGGUUGAUCGUUUACUGUGAGAAAAUUAGAGUGUUCAAGGCAGGCAUAAUUGCAAUUGAAUAUGUUAGCAUGGAAUAAUAAGAUAAGGCUUCUGCAUUCUUUUGGUUUCUAGAGUGGAAGUAAGGAUUGAGAAGGACUAUCGGUG